rnacentral:rRNA from 1 species
AUGAACGCUGGCGGCGUGCCUCAUACCUGCCAGUCGCGCGAACAGACGAGGAGCUUGCUCCUCUGACGUUAGCGGCGGACGGGUGAGUAACACGUGGAUAACCUACCUAUAAGACUGGGAUAACUUCGGGAAACCGGAGCUAAUACCGGAUAAUAUAUUGAACCGCAUGGUUCAAUAGUGAAAGACGGUUUUGCUGUCACUUAUAGAUGGAUCCGCGCCGCAUUAGCUAGUUGGUAAGGUAACGGCUUACCAAGGCAACGAUGCGUAGCCGACCUGAGAGGGUGAUCGGCCACACUGGAACUGAGACACGGUCCAGACUCCUACGGGAGGCAGCAGUAGGGAAUCUUCCGCAAUGGGCGAAAGCCUGACGGAGCAACGCCGCGUGAGUGAUGAAGGUCUUCGGAUCGUAAAACUCUGUUAUUAGGGAAGAACAAAUGUGUAAGUAACUAUGCACGUCUUGACGGUACCUAAUCAGAAAGCCACGGCUAACUACGUG